rnacentral:rRNA from 1 species
CCUACGGGGGGCUGCAGUGGGGAAUAUUGCGCAAUGGGGGGAACCCUGACGCAGCCAUGCCGCGUGAAUGAAGAAGGCCUUCGGGUUGUAAAGUUCUUUCGGUGACGAGGAAGGUUGUUGUGUUAAUAGCGCAACAAAUUGACGUUAAUCACAGAAGAAGCACCGGCUAACUCCGUGCCAGCAGCCGCGGUAAUACGGAGGGUGCGAGCGUUAAUCGGAAUAACUGGGCGUAAAGGGCACGCAGGCGGACUUUUAAGUGAGGUGUGAAAUCCCCGGGCUUAACCUGGGAAUUGCAUUUCAGACUGGGGGUCUAGAGUACUUUAGGGAGGGGUAGAAUUCCACGUGUAGCGGUGAAAUGCGUAGAGAUGUGGAGGAAUACCGAAGGCGAAGGCAGCCCCUUGGGAAUGUACUGACGCUCAUGUGCGAAAGCGUGGGGAGCAAACAGGAUUAGAUACCCGGGUAGUC